rnacentral:lncRNA from 1 species
GACUCUGGAGCUGGGGGUAGGGACAGUGCCAAGCCUCUUUUUGAGUGACACCCAUACUCUAGAAGCUUAGGGGAUGGGCUGCAGCCUAGGGUUCUCUCAGCUUGCCAGUCCUGGUGUGGAGCCACUGCCUCAUGAAUGAAGGCAAGGGCUAUCAGGGCCCCAGUAUUCUCAGUGUGCCACGUCCAAAAUGAAGCCUUCAUUUCAUGGCUGGGAAUUGGGAGGAAGAAGGGAGCACCCUGCAUCUUGACUGCAGUCACCCAAGACUUGGCCUUGGCAACAAUAUGCUAAGGGCAGAAUAAGAAAUGUUACAGUCUUGCCCUGUGUUCUUGACUAUAGUAGUCUGGAGUGCAGUUUCCACAUCACGGAACAGGUGGGGAGGGAGAUAAAAGGAGUCUUCAUUCAAAUACCACAGACCUUCACAUUUUGUACUGAAUUUUUAUAUAUUCUCUUGAGUAGAUGUUUCUUCAUUGGCUUAGGGUAAACUCAAGUCCAUUUCCAGAGGUCAUUUAUAGAUCAAGACUCAUAUUGACUACGCCAUUGUAAAAACAUGGUUUCCAAGGUUGCUGUCGUCUUGGCUAUUCAGUUUUGCAGGAAGAAGAAAGAGUGUAGAGGAGUGUCCACGGGGGAUUUUAUUGACCAUGCCAGAAAGUAGGACACAUCACUAUCACUUAUAUGUUAUGAGUGGGUAGAAAUAAUGUGUCUCACUCACCAGUGGAAUGCAAGUGUUCACCCCAGUGGUGAGGGAAGUUGGGAAGUGCCAUUAGCCAUGGGUUUAACAGUUUUGCCACAUGAGUACUUUAGAUUUUCUCUUAGCUUAUUUGUAUUUUCUGAUUUUGCACAAUGGAUCUAUAUUUCUAAUACAAUGUAAAUAUAAAUAAAUUAAUAAAUAGAGAACAAGCAGUAAGGAAGUAAGGGUAGGGAGUAUAGACAAUCCCUUCUAAGAAGUUUUGCAGGUGCCAUUACUGGAGUGAGAAACUAGGUUAAGAAAAGGUUUCUAAAUAUGACGAUUCUGGCAUAUUUUUGAAAGAAUUAUCCAGAAGACAGGAAACAACUAUUAAGUCUUUGAGUUGGUUCUCCCUAAAUGUUAUAUAGAGUGUCUCUUUCACUUGAGAGAGGAGAGGGAAAUAAAGAAAGAAGGGUUUCAAAAUGGUCACCCUUGCUGUUUCUUCUCAUUAGACUGUAAGGUUCAGGAUUUCAAAGCUUUCCUUGGAACAUUUGGAAGCAGAAAAAAAAAAAAAGAAAAACCACCCACAACAAAACCAGUGCUUACUGAGCCUGACAAAGUAACAAAUUGUGGAAAUUUCCAAAGCUAAUUAUUGCUGUUUUUCUAAAAAAUUCCUUUGAUAUGCUAAGAGUUGUAAUUAGAGUCAUUAAAUACAGAAACCCUUGGGUUGCAAAGAACAUAGGAAUAACCCACUGAUGUGUUGAUUAUGGGUGGGUUGCUAUUUAUCAACAGAACUUAGCCGUGACAUACAAAAUGAGACUGUCAUGCAGUGGGGCUGCCUUUGCAAACUUUCAUGGAGUUAACUCCAAUGCCAGACAUCUAUUGGAAAAUUCUAUGACAGAUAAAAAGAAGGCACUGUGGGAACAUAUAAGGAGAGAAGUUAAUUCUCACUGAGGGAAUUGGGAUCAGCUUUAGAGAGGAGAUAGCAUUUGAACAAAUUCCAGAAGGCCAGUAGGGAUUUAGACAGGAGAUCUUGGAGAGAAGAUAUCCUAGUCUGGGAGUGCCAACAUGGCUUGAAGGCAGAGGACAGGCAAUAGGAGGUGUUAGGAGUUAGCUUGGCUGUGGCUGGUAAAUGUGCAGAAGCACAGUGGAAGGUCAGUCCAGAGAGGGAGUGACAGCACAGCCUGGAGGAUGGAGGGUGAUGCAUGCCAGCUUAAGAAGCUGUGCUUUUUACUGUUAGUUCUGACCAGUUUUUAGAAAAACUAAUCUACUAAUAAUAUGGAGGCAGGGGUGAGGAUGGAAGAAAUAUUGGAAGUCGACUAGAAGGAGGUGAGUGCACAGUUUGUUCAGGAGGUGAUGACACACUGAUUAGCGCUGGCAGAGAGAUGUGGGGGAGAUAUUAAGACACCCCUAGAGUGUGAGGAGGACUUUUUACAGCUUCCGGAGAGGAAAAAGUGGUUAUCACAAGUCUGCAGGGCUCUUUGAGCCUUCCCCAGAUGUGGAACAGAGAAAGUUUGAAGUAGAUGCCAUUUUAAGAGCCAGGACAUGGAUUCUCCCUCUCUGCAAAACGUCCUUGCAAACUCUCGAGGGAAACCAGUGCUUCAUGUUGUUAAAGUUUUACAAGUUAUGGCAUAAAUUGUUCUUCAAGUGCCGAAUGUAGUGACCAAUAAAUCACCGAGAGGAUUCUCUGAGAUUUGCAAUUGUGGAAUUACAGAUUUUGUACCUAGUCUUGGAUGCACUGAGCUGGGUCUACUCUGAGGCAGCAAGCUGCAACCCUGCCCUGUCCAGUCACCUCACUGUCACCUGGAAGAAUCCUGUUCUUUAGUGGAAAUAAGUCACAGACGUCCUCAAAGGCGAACGCUCCAGGUGCACCCCAGAGAGCUGCCCCACUAGCUCUGACUGGCUGAUGCUGUGUUUGGCUCCAAGCACUUCUUGCUAUAAAUCCACCACAGGUGUCCUUACUCUCCAUCACCCAGUCCUUUGUUCCGUCAUUGCCUCAUAUUCAUUUAGCAAGACUUCACUGAGAACUUAGAGACUCGCUGCUUCCCUGUGGGGCUACAACAGUAAACACCACAGACAGGCGCUGGUGGCGAAGACAGCCAAACAGACCAGGAAUUACAAAACACUUCGAAAAGUGCUCUGAUGGGAGAAACACAGAGUGCCGAGGGAACAUGUGGGAGAGAUGUUGGGGAAACUUCUGGAAGGAAGUGGCCAGGUGAGAACUUCAGUCAUUUUGGAUGAGUUCCUCUUCCUAUGCUCCAGCCCCACAUACUAUCUUCCAUGCAUUCUGUUGAUUCUCCGCUGUGACAUCUACCAGGCAGCAGUGAGGAUGCCAGAGUUCAUGGGUUUCUAGAAGACAAGUUUUCAACUGCAGAUACAAACAUCAGGACGUCAAUGUAUCUGCUAGGAGACACCCGGACAGUGUUGAGAACACAGAACCUGGAGGCUAAACCCCCAGCUUUCUAUGCCAGCUGAGAGUCUGUGGGCACAUUACUCAGCGUCUCUGAACCUCAUGCUCCUCCCCUGUGACAUGUAGAUUGCUAAACCCAUCUCACAGGGCUAUCUUCUGCAUUUAAAGAAUAAAAUAACACAUGAGGGGUCUAUCAAU